GUUUGUAGGAUUUGAAGACCAUUGGGGAUUCUGGAGGUAUCCUGACCCAGUUGAGUAACUACACAAACUGUACUGUAGUACAAUAUUUGAAAUCAGACUUCGGUUAUGUUUUAUUUUUCUUGUUAUGUUGUACUGUUAAUUAUUAUUAUUAUUUUUUUUUUUUCUGUUUCUAUAUCCAUCCUCUUUGGUCUAGUUGCUUAGCGUAUUGAUUUUUGCACUCGGUGUUUCAUACCUUAAGGGGGAACAUUUCAUUUAGCACACUGGGGUUAUUUUGGAGCUGUAGAGAACCAUUGGUUAACAUUAAUAGUAUAGCUAGCAAUGCUGUGUAUAUUAAACCGAAUUAGUAAAAAAAAUAAAAAUAAAUGUGCAUCAAAUAUCAAUAUACAGUACACCUCUAAAGUUGACCUGAGUUAUAGUUGGAGUUAUAGACCUGAGUUAUCUUAAUCAAAUCAGUUGCUGUAAGCAGUAUUGAAUAGCUAAUUAGAUAGGUUUAAGCAUCAGCCAAGAGACUCGAUCAGAUAUUUGUGUUGUUAGUCUUAAAUUAGAAAUGACUGAAUGUCAAGUAUUCUUAUUGCUACCGUUCCUUCUGUUUUUGCAAAUUGUUUGCUUUAUUUGUUUAUUAUUUACUUGGCUGAUAUAUGCCACAUUAUGCAUUCAUGUAAACCGUUACACCAUGGGUUAGAGGUGUGCAUGGAACUUUUUUGUUUGUUUGUUUGGUUGGUUUUUGUUGUUGUUGUUUUUUAUUUCACUCCCACCCACUCCCAAAGUAAUUCUGACAAUCCUGCCCACUUCCUCAGAAUGUCUGACCAAUCCCGACCCACUUUCUCAGAAACGUUCACCAAUCCCAACCCGCCUCAGAGGAGUUCUGACCAAUCUGACCCACUUUCUCAGAAACGUUUACCAAUCCCACCCCACUCCUAAAGGAAUUCUGACCAAUCCGACCCACUUUCUCAGAAGCGUUUACCAAUCCCAACCCGCCUCAAAGGAGUUCUGACCAAUCCGACCCUCUUCCUCAGAAACAUUGACCAAUCCCAACCUGCACCUAAAGGAAUUCUAACCACUCCUGACCCACUUCCUCAGAAUGUCUGACCAAUCCUGCCCUGUUGCCACAGAAAUUCUGAAAUUCCAAUCCUACCGCUUCUGCAGAAUGUCUGAUCAAUCCUUCCAUUUUCCUCAGGAAGUUUGACCAAUCCAUUUUCCACAGAAUGUUUGACCAAACCCAACCCACUCCCAAAAGGAAUUCUGACCAAUCCUACCCACUUCCUCAGAACAUCUGACCAAUCCUAACCCACAUUCAGAGGAAUUCUGACCAAUCCCACUUCUGCAGAACGUCUGACCAAUCCUGCCCGGCCCCACAGUUAUCAUUUUGUUUGCUCUUCCCAAAACAUCUUCUAAAAGAUUUAGUUGGUUCUUUUUUCCAAAAAAUAUAAAUGACUCAUACGAACUAUCUUCCUUGAUAACUCGGGAUAAAAUCACUGAAAACGAAUGAAGCAAUGUGCUAAAUACGACACUCAUUGCAGCACCCAGUACACUGCCAUGUUCAUCAACAUGGCCUUCCUUUGUUCCGUACGUUUCAUAUCUGACUGCCCGAUGCACUUCCCUCUCUACCGUACAUGAAAAGCCAGUAUGGCAAAACCCACAUGAUAGUGACUGACAUGAAUCCUAUAACAUUAUGACUACGUCUGAAAAAAUAUAUAAUUCAGCACUUUAGAUAAUUAUCAAACCUUGUGUGACUUGUUUAAAAUGUAGUAAAGCUUUUCGAUGUUUAUGCAUUAGUGCCUUCUUUUAGCCAUCAUUGUUAUUCUUGAGUAAUUACAUAAUUGGCUGAGUUUACAGCAAUCCGAUGUUGGUGACAGCAGAUCUAAAGUAUUAAAUAUAUAUUGGUUUCAUAUCACUGUUGGUUUUAAACCUGUACCUGAACACAUACUUCCUUUGCAUUUAUACCCUACUUAUUCAUUAUGGCAGAUCAACAAUCAAAAGUGAACUGUCAUUAUUUUCUACCCUACUGUAUAACCCCCAGCCCUCCAAUCCUCCCCACCCCCCCCCAAAACCCACCCCCGCCUUCACUUGCCUACCCGUCAUGUUGCCUGCCUCUUGUACAGUUUAAAAUGAAAAAAAAGCAUUGUACACAGCCAUGCUAUUUAUACAGAAAGUGUGUUUAAUUUUACAAUAAAGAUAAACUGCAGAAUAAACGGCUGCGCUGGAUUCAUACGUUUUCUCUCUUUCAUUAUUCAGAGCAGAGAAAUGACUAGAAGAUCACAACGCAGUGCUGCAAUUAUGGUUAAUAAGUCAAACUGGAAAUCCCUUCGUCCUGGAGACUUUCCCAUGUCGGGAAGCGUAUCGGCUGUGCGCUGACGCUGGAGACUCCUUCCCAUCUUUUGGAUCGAGCUGAAAAGGACUGGACUGAACUGGUGCUGUCUGAUGUAUCCAGGUAAGAGCUGUUGCUACGGUCAUCUAGACAUGCCCACACGCCUUGACGACAACAGCCUUUGAGAGCUCGCCUGUUCGUAACGUAACAGAAGCUGUCAGUGAAAUAUCUACUCAGAAGAGGAAAUCCUGUCCCUCUGGCCUCACAGGGUCGUUAAACAGGACGGGGAAAAAAACACGAUAUGGACCACUAACGUGCAGCCAAUUAGGACAAGGCAUUGUCUUCACAUAUAUGAUUUAGACUUUUUUAGGGUGAUUUUUAUUUUUUAUUUUUUUUUGAGGACUUUCUACUAAAGACAAAAACAGUUUUUGCUGAUUUCUGCCAGAAAUUUGAGAAUAACCCUUUGUUUACACCAGCAUGCGACAACGUCAUUUACAAUGUCUUCUGCUACUUCUGCACAUCAAACUCUAAACGAAAACAAACUGCCGUGUAGGAGCUGAAGAAACAGAAGAAAUGUUGGACCACAUGUGCCAUAGGAUUGUCUGAGGAAUCAUUCGAGCAAGUUGUUUGGAUUUGUUAGUUUACCGUAUCAUACGGUCCCCUCCGAAAUUAUUGGAACAGCAAGGCCAAUUCUUUUGUCUCAUCGUGUGGUACGGGAACUGCACAGCCUCAGACCGCAAGGCCCUACAGCGAAUUCUGAGGACACCUGAAAAAUCAUCAGGGUCUCUCUACCCACCAUCGACACCUCAUUCAACGACCCCUGCAUCCGCAAUACCCUUCUCACCUAUCUCAUGGACUCUUCACCCUCCUGCCAUCUGGUAGAAGGUACGGGAGCAUCC
ensembl:lncRNA